CAAGAGUGGAUCGGCCCUGGGACGGCUUACAAUGGCAGUUACGGUGCCAUGACUUGGAUAGGGUCAGAUUCAUCACUGAACCCCCAGGCUUCCCACCCAGGGUCCUACAUGCAUGGUUUUGAGGCCUUUGUCUUCACUCCUGACCGAUUGAUUUGGGGAUCCAGUGGGGCUUCUCAAGGGACUCAGGAGCCCCCAAAAGCAACCAUGUGAGGCAGAAAAGAGAGAAAAAGAAGGAACUAUUUGGAAACUGGCUUUUACUAGGUCUGUGAUUACUUAAGAAAAUUGAGUCUCCCCAAUAUUAAAAGAGGACACAAUUGAAAACACUGGCUACAUCACCAAGGCUGGAAUGUUAUAUUGAUUGGAAUGUUAUAUUUUCUAAUACGACCAGACAGCUUAAGGAACUAAAAUUGACUUUGAAGAGCCUGGGAAGACAGCUUGGAAAACUGUUUCAAACCUUACCAAUGAGAAAGGAAUGUCACUUCCUGACAAGUCCAGAAAUCUUAGAUAUUUGGGGGACCUCAAGAAAAGAGGAAUUUGCCAAAUCUAUAAGUGUUACAGAUGAAACCUGUUGGCAAGUCCUUGGCCUGGCUUCCUUACCUUCAGAGGCUUCUACCAGUUCAAUCUGAGAUUCCUUUUAUUUUCUUUUUUGAGACGGAGUCUCGCUCUGUCCCCCAGGCUGGAGUGCA
rnacentral:lncRNA from 10 species